UACGUAGGGGGCUAGCGUUGUCCGGAUUUAUUGGGCGUAAAGAGCGUGUAGGCGGCCAGGUAGGUCCGCUGUGAAAGUCCGAGGCUCAACCUCGGAAUGUCGGCGGAAACCCUCUGGCUAGAGUCCGGAAGAGGAGAGUGGAAUUCCCGGUGUAGCGGUGAAAUGCGCAGAUAUCAGGAGGAACACCUAUUGCGAAGGCAGCUCGCUGGGACGUAACUGACGCUGAGACGCGAAAGCGUGGGGAGCAAACAGG
rnacentral:rRNA from 1 species